rnacentral:rRNA from 1 species
CAAUAGCGUAUAUUUAAGUUGUUGCAGUUAAAAAGCUCGUAGUUGGAUUUCGGAUGGGACUUGCCGGUCCGUCGUUUCGAUGUGCACUGGCCAGUCCUAUCUUGUUGUCGGGGACUAGCUCCUGGGCUUCACUGUCCGGGACUAGGAGCUGACGAGGUUACUUUGAGUAAAUUAGAGUGUUCAAAGCAAGCCUACGCUCUGAAUACAUUAGCAUGGAAUAACACGAUAGGACUCUGGCUUAUCUUGUUGGUCUGUGAGACCAGAGUAAUGAUUAAGAGGGACAGUCGGGGGCAUUCGUAUUUCAUUGUCAGAAGUGAAAUUCUUGGAUUUAUGAAAGACGAACUUCUGCGAAAGCAUUUGUCAAGGAUGUUUUCAUUAA